AGAUAUUAUCCAAGAACCUCAAAAUAAGACCGUGUUUCUACUUUCAAAAUGUGAGCACAUUUCCUAGAAAACCAGUCAUUUUUAUUGCUGUGUCAGCAUGUGUCUGAGUCACAUCUUAAGCUGGAAUUUAAACUUGUGAACUGAAGCACCAAAGAAAAACGUGCAACCAUAACAAUCUACAGCAGAUUUUGCUAUACAAUGAUUCACUGAAGCUGA
rnacentral:lncRNA from 1 species